CCUACGGGUGGCAGCAGUGGGGAAUAUUGGACAAUGGGGGGAACCCUGAUCUAGCCAUGCCGCGUGUGUGAAGAAGGCCCUCGGGUUGUAAAGCACUUUCAGUGAGGAAGAACGCCUGGUGGUUAAUACCCAUCAGGAAAGACAUCACUCACAGAAGAAGCACCGGCUAACUCCGUGCCAGCAGCCGCGGUAAUACGGAGGGUGCGAGCGUUAAUCGGAAUUACUGGGCGUAAAGCGCGCGUAGGUGGCUUGAUAAGCCGGUUGUGAAAGCCCCGGGCUCAACCUGGGAACGGCAUCCGGAACUGUCAAGCUAGAGUGCAGGAGAGGAAGGUAGAAUUCCCGGUGUAGCGGUGAAAUGCGUAGAGAUCGGGAGGAAUAUCAGUGGCGAAGGCGGCCUUCUGGACUGACACUGACACUGAGGUGCGAAAGCGUGGGUAGCAAACAGGAUUAGAUACCCGUGUAGUC
rnacentral:rRNA from 1 species